UACGAAGGGGGCUAGCGUUGCUCGGAAUCACUGGGCGUAAAGCGCACGUAGGCGGAUCUUUAAGUCAGGGGUGAAAUCCCAAGGCUCAACCUUGGAACUGCCUUUGAUACUGGGGAUCUCGAGUCCGGAAGAGGUUGGUGGAACUCCGAGUGUAGAGGUGAAAUUCGUAGAUAUUCGGAAGAACACCAGUGGCGAAGGCGGCUCACUGGCCCGGUACUGACGCUGAGGUGCGAAAGCGUGGGGAGCAAACAGG
rnacentral:rRNA from 1 species